rnacentral:rRNA from 1 species
UGAAUACGAGAUGCUACGGCGUCGAAGCAGUGUAUGUCAGACUUCCAAGAAAAGCUCGCAAUGUCAUAAAUAAAGAAUGCCUGUACCAUAACCGACACAGGUGGGUAGGUAGAGUAUACUAAGGGGCGCGAGAUAACUCUCUCUAAGGAACUCGGCAAAAUAACUCCGUAACUUCGGGAGAAGGAGUGCCUUCUUUAAGAAGGUUGCAAUAACAAGAUCCAAGCAACUGUUUAUCAAAAACACAGGUCUCCGCUAAGUCGUAAGACGAUGUAUGGGGGCUGACGCCUGCCCAGUGCCAGAAGGUUAAAGAAGUUGGUUAGCUUUUGCGAAGCUGAUGACUGAAGCCCUGGUGAACGGCGGCCGUAACAAUAACGGUCCUAAGGUAGCGAAAUUCCUUGUCGGGUAAGUUCCGACCCGCACGAAAGGCGUAAUGAUUUGGAUACUGUCUCGGAGAGGGACUCGGUGAAAUAGACUUGUCUGUGAAGAUGCGGACUACCUGCACCAGGACAGAAAGACCCUAUGAAGCUUUACUGUAACUUGAAAUUGAAAUUGGACUUUAUUUGCGCAGUAUAGGUGGAAGGCGUUGAAAGUAAUCUUGCGGGAUUAGUGGAGCCAUCAGUGAGAUACCACUCCUAUAAUGUUAGAUUUCUAACUUUGGAUCAUGAUCUGGUCAAAGAACAGUUUCAGGCGGGCAGUUUGACUGGGGCGGUCGCCUCCCAAAUGGUAACGGAGGCGUACAAAGGUUUCCUCUGAACGGGUAGAAAUCGUAUCUAGAGUGUAAAGGCAUAAGGAAGCUUGACUGUGAGACCUACAAGUCGAGCAGGGACGAAAGUCGGUCUUAGUGAUCUGACGGUGCUGAGUGGAAAGGCCGUCACUCAACGGAUAAAAGUUACUCUAGGAUAACAGGCUGAUCUCCCCCAAGAGUUCACAUCGACGGGGAGGUUUGGCACCUCGAUGUCGGCUCAUCGCAUCCUGGGGCGGUAGUACGUCCCAAGGGUUGGGCUGUUCGCCCAUGAAAGCGGUACGCGAGCUGGGUUCAGAACGUCGUGAGACAGUUCGGUCCAUAUCCGGUGUAGGCGUUAGAAUAUUGAGAGGAGCCUUCUUUAGUACGAGAGGACCGAGAAGGACAUACCUCUGGUGUACCAGUUAUCGUGCCAACGGUAAACGCUGGGUAGCUAUGUAUGGAGAGGAUAACCGCUGAAAGCAUCUAAGUGGGAAGCCCACCUCAAGAUGAGUA